rnacentral:rRNA from 1 species
UCCUUUUGAAUUUUUAUCUAAGGUCUGACCUGCCCACUGAUUUAUUUAAUGGCCGCGGUAUUUUGACCGUGCAAAGGUAGCAUAAUAAUUUGUCUUUUAAUUGAAGGCUUGUAUGAAUGGUUGGACGAGAAAAUUACUUUCUUUAUAAUAAAAUGAUUAAUUUUAUUUUUCAGUUAAAAAGCUGAAAUAUUAUUGUAGGACGAGAAGACCCUAUAGAACUUUAUAUUUAUUUUUUAUAUUAAUAUUUUUUGGUAAUAAUAUAUUGUAUAUUUAUAAAUAUUUUGUUGGGGCGACAAGAAAAUUUAUUUAACUUUUUUUUAUGAAUUUCAUUAAUUAAUGUAUAAAUGAUCCUUUAUUAAGGAUAAUUAGAAUAAGUUACCUUAGGGAUAACAGCGUAAUUUUUUUGGAGAGUUCUUAUCGAUAAAAAAGUUUGCGA